rnacentral:rRNA from 1 species
AUUGAACGCUGGCGGAAUGCUUUACACAUGCAAGUCGAACGGCAGCACGGGUGCUUGCACCUGGUGGCGAGUGGCGAACGGGUGAGUAAUACAUCGGAACGUACCCUGACGUGGGGGAUAACGUAGCGAAAGUUACGCUAAUACCGCAUACGUCCUGAGGGAGAAAGCAGGGGAUCGUAAGACCUUGCGCGUUAGGAGCGGCCGAUGGCGGAUUAGCUAGUUGGUAGGGUAAAGGCCUACCAAGGCGACGAUCCGUAGCGGGUCUGAGAGGACGACCCGCCACACUGGAACUGAGACACGGUCCAGACUCCUACGGGAGGCAGCAGUGGGGAAUUUUGGACAGUGGGCGAAAGCCUGAUCCAGCCAUUCCGCGUGAGUGAAGAAGGCCCUCGGGUUGUAAAGCUCUUUCGGCAGGGAAGAAACGGUUUUGGAUAAUACCCAGAACUAAUGACGGUACCUGAAGAAGAAGCACCGGCUAACUACGUGCCAGCCGCCGCGGUAA